CGGAGCUAACGAUGCUAACGAUGCUAACAGGCUCCAGCAGCUGCUGUGGCUCCUAAACUGGAGCUUCAGCUCCAACAGAGCUGAAUCAAAGCUCUACAACUCUGGUUUAGACGCUAAUAUGCUGAGCUUCCGGUCUGAAGGUAGGAAAAUAUUUAUGAAAAGUUAAAUUAUCCUGGAAACAGUCAGAAUGAUGUUGAUGUUUUAGCUGCAGAGCCGCGAACUGAACUAUUAUUAUCAGAGCAGGGCGGGUUUUGCCCUCUAGUGGACACAGAUGAGAGGAAAACACAAGUUACGUGACUUCCUGUGGAAAUAGAAACUGAAACCAACUCUGGUCUCCUUCAGAUCAGCCUCCAUUUUGAGCUGCAGGAUGGAAAUAACUUGCUGACUUGUUACUAGAGGCCAGAAGAUGAAAGAUCAGGACAGAGCAGAACCUCCAGGAUCCAUCAGUCCAUCUAUGAGGAGUGACCGGUCCAAAGAUUCUAAUCCACACUUCAGUAAUGAACCUGGACCAUCAGACAGAAAGAGCUGUGAGUGUGAAGAAAGACCCAGAACAGGAGCUGAAUGGCCGACAGC